AUUCCUACGGGAGGCAGCAGUGGGGAAUUUUUCGCAAUGGGGGAAACCCUGACGCAGCAACGCCGCGUGGAGGAUGAAGUCCUUCGGGACGUAAACUCCUUUCGAUCGGGACGAUUAUGACGGUACCGGAAGAAGAAGCCCCGGCUAACUUCGUGCCAGCAGCCGCGGUAAUAAU
rnacentral:rRNA from 1 species